rnacentral:rRNA from 1 species
ACAAGUACCGUGAGGGAAAGUUGCAAAGCACUUUGAAGAGAGAGUUAAAGAGGACGUGAAACCGAUGAGGUGGAAACGGACAGAGCUGGCGUAUCUGGCCUGUAUUCAGCCGCUCGUUGUCGGCCCACCGUUGCUGCACUCCAGAUUGGGAAGGCGGCGUGGGCGCUGGCUGCGUGUGGUGCAUUUGCAGGUGGAGUGCGCCGAGGCGCUCGGCUCAGCGGCAUGAGCUCAGCUUUGAGGCCAACCGCGCAAGCGGUCUGGUACCCGGGCUGGGGGAGUGUUGUUUGGGCUGGGUGUUCGCUUGUGGCUGUGGUUUCGGGCCCGGGUGGGUGCCGAGCUGGCGGUCGGUGGCGGUCGCUUGCGACACGUGCCAGCAGUCAGUUCGGUCCUGCUCGAGCUCUCAUUGUGGCCCGGCCUCGGUGUAAAAGCCGGUCAUCUGUCCGACCCGUCUUGAAACACGGACCAAGGAGUUUAGCGUGUGCGCGAGUCAUUGGGCGUUGAAAACCCAAAGGCGCAAUGAAAGUGAAGGUCUGCCUUGUGCAGCUGAUGUGUGAUCCCGGGCGCUGCGGCGCACGGGCGCAACAUAGUCCCGUCCCGACUGCAUGCAGUGGGGCGGAGACAGAGCGUACGCGCUGAGACCCGAAAGAUGGUGAACUAUUCCUGAGCAGGAUGAAGCCAGAGGAAACUCUGGUGGAAGUCCGAAGCGAUUCUGACGUGCAAAUCGAUCGUCUGACUUGGGUAUAGGGGCGAAAGACUAAUCGAACCAUCUAGUAGCUGGUUCCUUCCGA